rnacentral:rRNA from 1 species
AGGGCAAGUCUGGUGCCAGCAGCCGCGGUAAUUCCAGCUCCAAUAGCGUAUAUUAAAGUUGUUGCAGUUAAAAAGCUCGUAGUUGAAUUUCGGGAUCAGUACGCUGGUCGUGCCUUCGGUAUGUACUGGUGUCACUGAUUCCUCCCUUCUGACGAACCGUUAUGCCAUUUAUUUGGUGUGGCGGGGAAUCAGGACUGUUACUUUGAAAAAAUUAGAGUGUUUAAAGCAGGCUCGCGCUUGAAUACAUUAGCAUGGAAUAAUGAAAUAGGACGUUUGAUUCUAUUUUGUUGGUUUCUAGGAUCGACGUAAUGAUUAAUAGGGAUAGUUGGGGGCAUUAGUAUUCAAUUGUCAGAGGUGAAAUUCUUGGAUUUAUUGAAGACUAACUACUGCGAAAGCAUUUGCCAAGGAUGUUUUCAUUAAUCAGGAACGAAAGUUAGGGGAUCGAAGACGAUCAGAUACCGUCGUAGUCUUAACCAUAAACUAUGCCGACUAGGGAUCGGACGGUGUUAUUUUUUGACCCGUUCGGCACCUUACGGGAAAC